rnacentral:rRNA from 1 species
AUUGAACGCUGGCGGCAGGCUUAACACAUGCAAGUCGAGCGGAGUGAUGGUGCUUGCACUAUCACUUAGCGGCGGACGGGUGAGUAAUGCUUAGGAAUCUGCCUAUUAGUGGGGGACAACAUCUCGAAAGGGAUGCUAAUACCGCAUACGUCCUACGGGAGAAAGCAGGGGAUCACUUGUGACCUUGCGCUAAUAGAUGAGCCUAAGUCGGAUUAGCUAGUUGGUGGGGUAAAGGCCUACCAAGGCGACGAUCUGUAGCGGGUCUGAGAGGAUGAUCCGCCACACGGGGACUGAGACACGGCCCAGACUCCUACGGGAGGCAGCAGUGGGGAAUAUUGGACAAUGGGGGGAACCCUGAUCCAGCCAUGCCGCGUGUGUGAAGAAGGCCUUAUGGUUGUAAAGCACUUUAAGCGAGGAGGAGGCUCUUCUGGUUAAUACCCAGGAUGAGUGGACGUUACUCGCAGAAUAAGCACCGGCUAACUCUGUGCCAGCCGCCGCCGUAA